rnacentral:rRNA from 1 species
AAACUAACAAGGAUUCCCCUAGUAACUGCGAGUGAAGCGGGAAAAGCUCAAAUUUAAAAUCUGGCGGUCUUUGGCCGUCCGAGUUGUAGUCUGGAGAAGCGUCUUCCGCGUUGGACCGUGUACAAGUCUCUUGGAACAGAGCGUCAUAGAGGGUGAGAAUCCCGUCUUUGACACGGACYACCAAUGCUUUGUGAUGCGCUCUCAAAGAGUCGCGUUGUUUGGGAAUGCAGCGCAAAAUGGGAGGUGAAUUCCUUCUAAAGCUAAAUAUUGGCGAGAGACCGAUAGCGAACAAGUACCGUGAGGGAAAGAUGAAAAGCACUUUGGAAAGAGAGUUAAACAGUACGUGAAAUUGCUGAAAGGGAAACGCUUGAAGUCAGUCGCGUCGUCCGGAACUCAGCCUUGCUUCGGCUUGGUGCWCUUUCCGGUUGACGGGCCAGCAUCGAUUUUGACCGCUGGAAAAGGGCUGGAGGAAUGUGGCACCUUCGGGUGUGUUAUAGCCUUCAGUCGCAUACAGCGGUUGGGAUCGAGGAACGCAGCACGCCUUAUGGCUGGGGUUCGCCCACAUU